rnacentral:lncRNA from 1 species
CUGGUUAAUCUGCCUUUGCAAUUUAGAACUGGUUGUAUUUUUAUAAUAUAUAUUAUUUUGAUUUGAUACUAUAUAUUAUAAAAGUAAUUAGAUAAAAAUCUUUCAGUUUUUAGAAUCUGUUUUUUUUUUUCUUGCUCUUCUUGGCUCUUCCCCUGAAAACUAAACAUUAUUUUGACCUUGUCAAAUGACUCUUUACCCAUAAUGUCCUAGGUUAGUUCUAUUUGAAGUUUUGUAUAUACAUUCCAGUGGUUCAAAAUCCCUGCUUGUGCUUUAAAUACUAUAUCAUGUCUUUUUAGUGCUCACCAGUCAAAUAUAUUGAGUUAUGUACAUAUUGGAACACUUUGGACACACUCUGAUUAAGUACAUAUUUGUUCUAUAUUGUAUAUUCCUAAAAUAUACUUUAAAUAUAUCAGCUAAGGCUAACAGAGUAUUUUUUUCUUUCACAGGAGAAUAUCAGCAUUAAUGUGGGAGGUACGCUACAUUGAGCAUAAUGCCAGGACUUUCAAUGAGCCAGACAGUCCUAUAGUUAAAGCAGCUAAAAUUGUAACUGAUGUCUUACUACGAUUUAUUGGGGAUCAGAGCUGUACUGAUAUACUGGAUACUUAUAAUAAAGUUAAAGCAGAAGAACGAAACAGUACUGAUGCAGAGGAGGAUACAGAAAUGGUUGAUUUAGAUUCAGAUGGUCCUGGUACUUCAUCUGGAAGAAGGGUGAGUAAAUAAAUGAACUGCUGAGGAGAUACGUUUUCAGGUUUCCUAUGUCAGUGAUCCCUAAGACCAACCCCAUAUUCGAAGAAUUGCUAGAAAGAUUCUUUAAGUAAGUAUAUUAGGUAUGCUCAUUGAUAAGAUUUAUUACAUUGAUACAGUAAGGGUACCCAGUUGAGUCAUGGAGAAAAAGACACAGGCAGAGUCUGGAGAAAUUUAUGUACAGGCUUCCUUAUCCUAUUAAUAUCUUCACAUAUCACACUCUUUCUAGCAUGUGUGUGAUUAGAGAUUCAGUUCCCAAAAAUUUUAUUGGGGGCUGAUUAUGUAGAUACCCUCUGACUAGUGCACACUAAGAUUCUAGAUUCUCAGAAGGAAAUUACAUAUUCAGCACAAAUCACAUUGUUUUAUACUGUCUAGGUGCAGCAAAUUGUCUAAAUAAUUUAGGAAGCCAUUCAAAUGCCAAGUUCCCAAAUGCCAGCCAAUGGCCAACCUUGCAAGCAAUCCCUGGCCUGCUAUGUUAACUCUUUUGUGCAGAUUUCCCCUCCAUAAUAAUUAGAGUUAUAUUAUAUAAGGAACAAUAUAUUUUGUAAUACUGAAAGAGAUCAUAACAAAAGACAUCCAAUGGUACAGAACAGAGUUUAUCAUGACCACAAAGGAUUUCCAGGGAAAAAAAAUUAAAGUGUUGUUUUGAGAAAAAAUAUGAUGCCAUUGUCAAGUAUACUUAACUACCAGCAAGUAGUAAGGCACUAUAGCUUGAUCUUGUAGAGGAUAGAAGCAUUGCUCCUCUGUACUUUAUUUGAAGUUCAGAUGUGAGUACUAGAAUUCUUGCCAUUUCCAUGAAUAUGGUGUCUAGGUUUUUUAGCUCAUUAUUUUUGCCAGGGAAAACAAUGUCUAAUUUAAGCUAAGAAACUAAAAUAGCAGCUGCCCUAUUUUAUACAGAUAGAUAUGUUAACAUUAGGGAUUUUUCAGAAAAAUCAAUAGAGUUAAGGAAAGAUCUUUCAGAUAUAAUUCUAUUAAAAUCUAUAGGUCAAAUGCCGAGGCAGAAGACAGUCUUUAAAGUGUAAUCCUGAUGCUUGGAAAAAACAAUGCAAAGACCUGUU